CUGUUGUCACUAGAUAUUAGCACCAUGAUCAAUCCCCAGUGACAGGGUCUGCUUAGCCUGUCACAAGUUAUUUCAUUUUCGAUCUUCAGGAUUCUGCUAACUCACAAAUUGCUAAUCUAAUUUCUGGAUAACCAACUUAGGAGAGGAGAAACCCACAUAUUAAGGAGUUGUUCAGAGGCAGGCUCUGGGUCGCCAGCAGAGCCCAGAAGAUGCAGACGGAGGGCUGUCUCUUAAUAGUUCCCCACUUUUCCUCUUCCAUUUUGAGCCCCACUCCAACCCAGUAGCCAGUAAAGAUGUAACCUCCUAGAAGGGUCUGUGUGAGAAGCGGUGUCUCCUCUUUAUGGCUUGUUCUAAUGCGCAGAUGUUUGCUGGUAAUACAAAGGCAAUCUAAAUAGCGAGUCUAAAUGUGAUGUCACUUUUUUUUUGAAGGAAAUCCAUAUUUUAUAGACCAAAAUAAAGGCUCAUGUCUGCCUCCAGCAUUACGUAGAUCAAGUACCACACAAGUCCAUCAAUGCAGCAGCUGCCCUAUCCUUGAUAUGUGUACUGGGGACAAGAAAGGAUAUUUUUUGAAAAGGUAGGUUUUGGGCAGUGAAUGACAGCUGGGUUACAAAUCCCUCAAUUCACAAA
rnacentral:lncRNA from 1 species